rfam:Sphingomonadales bacterium RIFCSPHIGHO2_01_FTLL_65_20 rifcsphigho2_01_scaffold_63, whole genome shotgun sequence.
CUGGGACUGCCUGGUACGAGCUGCAGAGAACAUCCCUGAGGCGAUACAUCUUCCAAGGGAGCUGUCCCUGUCCUGGCUCCGGCCAGAGGCACACGGCGCCCACCUGACGUUACUGGCGUCAGAGGAUAUUCCAGCAAACGGCCAAGGCGGUUCCAAC